UCUUUUCUUUACCUUGACCAUGAAGUGCCAUGGAAUGACCUUUUUCUAUUCCGCUCGACAUGAUAAACAAUAUUGCCAAGCAUUAUCUCAGUUAUUUAAUUAGUUUCAUGGCCCUUUUUUUUAGAAUAAUUACUUUUCUGCACUUCCAUUCAAAAAUAAUAUUAAAUUAAAAAGAUUUUUUGCCUAUCUUUGUUAGAUUCAUGUAUCUUUGUUGAAAUAGUAUACUUGAUAGCUAUCCAUUUUCAUAUCAUUUUCUAAAAUAUUUUAUAUUUAUUAAAAAAAAUUAUUAUUAAAAAAAAGGCCUCAUUCAUUGGAUUCGCCUUAGGCCCCCAAAUGUAUUGGGCCGCCCCUGUUUGAGGACAGUUAUUAUGUAUUAGUAUAAUUAAGUAAAAUUGUACUUUGUAGAAGACUCUUCGACAAUCAAGCUAAUUGAUUUAUCUCUACAUGAGCCUUAGU
rnacentral:lncRNA from 1 species